AACAAAAGAAGUGUGACUGCCUUCGGGUGGACGAUGGGCUCGGAGGCCCUGCCUGGGGUAGGCGUGAGCCGGGCAGGUGGCCAUAGGUCACAGCGAGAAGACCCGACACGGAAGUGUGCACCAAACAGGCAGUGACAGACACACCCCUUCACGCGUUCCCAGGCCUCCGCCGUCGGCUCUUUGGUGGCUGCAGGCCAGAGUGGUUCCCGGCACCUGGACAGAUUGUGUGACUGGGAGUUUGGCAAGCUGGGAGGUGCUGUGACUCCUCGGCUCCUGGGAACCAGUUCUGUGCUCACAGAGCUGCGUUGCGACGUGACUAAUGGAGGCAAGUUCCACGAUGGACGAAGACAGUCUUGCUGACUUAGGCCAUAGCUUCACGUCCUGGGAACAGAGGACACCCAUAUCUGUCUCUCCUGCGUGGGUGUCGGGAAGCUGCUGGGGUGGAGAUGGGACCAGGAGGCCAGACCAUGCAGGAGGGGACACCAAGUAAGGGCCCUCUUGCAGAGGGAGGACUUCCCGGUGGCCACUGACCCGUCCUUGGGCUGAGCAGGAAGCACCUCCUGAGCACUGCAUCGCUGUUUGCUGUGGGAGUGGGAUUUGUGGGUGAGUAAACAGGCCCGGCCAAGAGGUCAGGAGUAGCGCACCCUCAGAAACUGCACGUGUCACAGGAACGGAGGAGCCAGGAAUGUGUUUUGCACUGAUGUCAACCUGCCCCACUGGACCGCACCUGCUU
rnacentral:lncRNA from 1 species